rnacentral:rRNA from 1 species
UGCGUAGGCGGGCUAAUAAGUCAGUGGUGAAAUCUUCCGGCUCAACCGGGAACCUGCCAUUGAUACUGUUAGUCUUGAGUUCGGUUGAGGUAGGCGUAAUGUGUAAUGUAGCGGUGAAAUGCUUAGAUAUUACACAGAACACCAAUUGCGUAGGCAGCUUACUAGACCGACACUGACGCUGAGGCACGAAAGCGUGGGGAGCGAACAGGAUUAGAUACCCUGGUAGUCC